AUCCUUUUGUGAUUCGUAAGUGUGAUGAUUGGGUUUUCACACUAUUGUGUGAGGUAUGCCUCCCUCAAACCUUGUUACAGUGUUGGCACAUUACUGUCUGAAG
ensembl:snoRNA